AUGGCUCACCAAGGCGACGAUCCCUAGCUGGUCUGAGAGGAUGAUCAGCCACACUGGAACUGAGACACGGUCCAGACUCCUACGGGAGGCAGCAUGGGGAAUAUUGCACAAUGGGCGCAAGCCUGAUGCAGCCAUGCCGCGUGUGUGAAGAAGCCUUCGGGUUGUAAAGCACUUUCAGUCGUGAGGAAGGUAGUGUAGUUAAUAGCUGCAUUAUUUGACGUUAGCGACAGAAGAAGCACCGGCUAACUCCGUGCCAGCAGCCGCGGUAAUACGGAGGGUGCGAGCGUUAAUCGGAAUUACUGGGCGUAAAGCGCAUGCAGGUGGUUUGUUAAGUCAGAUGUGAAAGCCCGGGGCUCAACCUCGGAAUAGCAUUUGAAACUGGCAGACUAGAGUACUGUAGAGGGGGUAGAAUUUCA
rnacentral:rRNA from 1 species